rnacentral:rRNA from 1 species
AGGCGCCAGCCUUCUUGGUGCAAAUCCAAGUGAGAGCUUUAUGUUUUGAUAGCUUAACCAAAGCACCGACCUUGUAAGCCGAAGACUAUAGGUGAGUAACCCUAUUCAAAACUUCAAAACAAAAGGACUUAAACCUUUUUCACUGACCCCCAAAGCCAGUAUUUUUAAUAAACUAUGUCUUGCUUUUAUAGCUCAAUUUUAAAGCGUGACGCUGAAAACGUCAAGAUGAACUUUAGUAAGUUCUAAAAGCACAAAGGCCUGGUCUUGGUCUUAUGAUCAACAAUUUCUUGACUUACACAUGCAAGUUUCAGCAUUCCAGUGAGAACGCCCUUAUUGCCUUCAUAGGCUUAGGAGUUGGCAUCAGGCACAGAUUCUUGCCCAUAACGCCUAGUCUUACCACACCCCCAAGGGUAUUCAGCAGUGAUAAAGAUUGAAAAUUAGCGUCAGCUAGAUUCAGUUAUAGAAAAUUAGGGCCGGCAAAUGCUGGUGCCAGCCGCCGCGGAUAUACCAAGAUGGCCCAAGUUGAUUACUUAACGGCGUUAAGCGUGGUUAGAGUUUUUUAAAUAGUAGAAUAAAACCAAUACGUGGCCGUGACAAGCCGCUAUAAGGGAAAAUCAGAGACGAAAGUAAUUCUAUUUAUGCUUGAACACACGACUACUAGGGAACAAACUGGGAUUAGGGACCCCAUUAUGCCUAGUCGUAAAAUAUUAAUUUACACUAAUAAACGCCAGGGAAUUACGAGCUUAGCUUAAAACCCAAAAGACUUGACGGUGUCCAACCCCACUAAAGGAGCCUGUCCUAAAAUCGAUACUCCCCGCUCGACCUCACCAUUUUUUGCUUUGUCAGUUAGUAUACUUCCGUCGCCAGUUUACCACAUGAAUGAACCGUAGUGGGCUUAAUGACAUCUAGUCAGAACGUCAGGUCAAGGUGCAGCUGA